CUCGUCUCAAGUAUUGUUAAUUGGCGUCAUUAAUUAAUCACAAUUAAUCGGCAUUCAAAAGUGGAAAUUAAUUAGUUUUCAAUCAACGAGAGUAUUGUUCAAUACCUUCUAAAAAGAGAACUGAAAUGGAAAAAAAAGAGGAAUACCUUGGAACCACAGGAACGAUUGAUGUAUUUUAAAAAUAUUGAGGAUACAAAAGAUGCGAGAUAUGAAACCAAAGGCACAGUGGCUAAAGCUGCUUUUCCCCCUUCAUACGUUUCUUCAAUAUAUAAAGGUUUCGAAAUUCUGGCGCCAAAAGAAAACGGAUAUAAAAAAAAAAAAAAAAUGCAGAGAAAAGAUCAAAACGUAAAAUCGAAAUUUUAACUAUGAGCUACCGAAAAAAUUAAUCCACGUACAAGAUUCAUGUGAUUAAAAUUCAGAAAAAAAUUGGAUCCAAUUUUAAAUCUACUCCUUUGGUAUAUUCAAACAAAAAUUAAAUCAACUGUGCUCUUAUCAUCGAAAAUAAAUAUACAAAAGUACAAUUAAAAUGGAAGAAAGUGGAAGGUUUCACAAUUUACAAACGCAUAGGAUUUAGUUCAACGAUCUUAUCAGUAUUUGAAGUAAACAUUUGCAUAUUCAAAGAAAGGGUUGCAACCAUCUAAUCAUUGGUCAGGGUGUGGCAAAAAUAAAAAAAUAUCUAACGCAACGAUUUGCUGUUUUUUGCUGCCGCUGCAUCGUAUUCUGUAAAGAAAGAGGACUUUCUGAAUCAACGUGGGAUAUUUGGAUUUAAACAAUAUUAAAGAAAGAGGAUAACAGAUAUAGCUGAUAUUCUGAAAUAUGUGGAUUACUAUAUGUUUAGAAUUAUGUGAGUUCAUGGAAUUAAGAAAAGAAAUUUGAUUUUCGCAAUCAACGUGGAAUCUGAAGCAUUUUGGAUGUUAACAAUAUUUAAGGAAUAUAUCGAAAAAUAUACAGAUCUUCAAAAUGUUGUGAGUUCAGAAAAUAUAGGAUGAACUUCUUAAGGAGAGUAUGUAUUACAAAAAAAAGUGGUAAGGUAAUGUACAAAAAAUUCUUUUUCUGAAAUUUCUUUUUUCUCGCAAUUAUUCUGUUACAGGUGAUGACUGAAAGAAGAAAAACGUUUUAUUUAAAUAUAUUUUGUUUUGAUUUUAAUUUAUUUCAAUGUCAAAAAAAAAAUUUGUUAUGAUUAAAAAAAUAUUUUUGUUACUAUUUUACUUAUUCUAUUUGUACGCGUUUCAGCUAACAACGAUUUCCUGAUUUUUCCUGUCGCAUCUCGCAUCCUGAAAAUAAAGAGGAUUUCAUCGCAUAUCCUGAAAAGAAAAUGGAUUUUCAUAAUCAACGUGGGAUCUUUGGAUUUAAACAAUAUUUAAUGAAGUGGACAACAGAGAGCUGCUAUUCAUAAAUAUGCGGAUUACUAUCUUCAAAAUUUUAUGUCAUUUCAUUGAAUUAGGAAAAGAAAUUGUAAUUUCGCAAUCAACGUGGGAUUAUUAUAUCUUUAAUAUUUUCUGACUGAAGGAAACAUUGGUUGUACUAUUUAUGGAGCGUAUGUAUUUCAAAAAAAGUGGUAAGGUAAUGUGCAAAAAAUUUGUUUUUCUAAAAUUUCUUUUUUCUUGUAAUUAUUCUCUGUUACAGAUGAUGACCGAAAGAAGAAAAACGUUUUAUUUACCUUUAUAAUUUGUAUUAAAUUUUGUUUUUUUUUCAAUAUGUUAACAAAAAAAUAAUUGUUAAUGAUUGAAAAAAAAUAAUUGAGUUACACUUUUACUUAUUCAAUUUGUACGCGUUUCAGCUAACAACGAGUUCCUGAUUUUUCCUGUCGCAUCGCAGCAUAAAAAGAAAAGUGGAUUUUUCGCAAUCUGCGUGGGAUCUAAAGCAUUUUUGGAUUUAAACAAUAUUUAAGAUUUCCUGAUUUUUCUUGUCGCAUCACAUCAUGAAAGGAAAGUGGAUUUUCUCAAUCAACGUGGGAUCUAAAGCAUUUUGAAUUUAAACAAUAUAUUUAAGGAAGUGGACAACAACAGAGAGCUUAUAUAUUAAGAAAUAUGCAGAGAUUACUAUCUUUAAAGUGUUUCACAUUUUUGGAUUCAAUGAGGCUAUUUAAAGGAUAUAUUUUUGGAUUCAAGGAGGCUAUUUAAAGGAUAUAACAACUUCACAGGAUUGUAAAUCGCCGCUUAAA